GCCUAAAACAGCCAAUAGAACGCUGAGAACUGGUGCUUGCACCGGUUCAAGGAGUUGCGAACGGGUGAGUAACGCGUAGGUAACCUACCUCAUAGCGGGGGAUAACUAUUGGAAACGAUAGCUAAUACCGCAUAAGAGAGACUAACGCAUGUUAGUAAUUUAAAAGGGGCAAUUGCUCCACUAUGAGAUGGACCUGCGUUGUAUUAGCUAGUUGGUGAGGUAAAGGCUCACCAAGGCGACGAUACAUAGCCGACCUGAGAGGGUGAUCGGCCACACUGGGACUGAGACACGGCCCAGACUCCUACGGGAGGCAGCAGUAGGGAAUCUUCGGCAAUGGGGGCAACCCUGACCGAGCAACGCCGCGUGAGUGAAGAAGGUUUUCGGAUCGUAAAGCUCUGUUGUUAGAGAAGAAUGAUGGUGGGAGUGGAAAAUCCACCAAGUGACGGUAACUAACCAGAAAGGGACGGCUAACUACGUGCCAGCAGCCGCGGUAAUACGUAGGGGGCUAGCGUUGUCCGGAGUCACUGGGCGUAAAGGGUUCGCAGGCGGAAAUGCAAGUCAGGUGUAAAAGGCAGUAGCUUAACUACUGUAAGCAUUUGAAACUGCAUAUCUUGAGAAGAGUAGAGGUAAGUGGAAUUUUUAGUGUAGCGGUGAAAUGCGUAGAUAUUAAAAAGAAUACCGGUGGCGAAGGCGACUUACUGGGCUCAUUCUGACGCUGAGGAACGAAAGCGUGGGUAGCAAACAGGAUUAGAUACCCUGGUAGUCCACGCUGUAAACGAUGAGUGCUAGGUAUCGGAAUAAUUCGGUGCCGCAGUUAACACAUUAAGCACUCCGCCUGGGGAGUACGCACGCAAGUG
rnacentral:rRNA from 1 species